GUGCUGGUGUCUUCUUCUGAGAGGAGUUUUGGUUUUGAGAGAAUUGGAACUGCCCUUGAGCGCUAAAGCAAAUCCCCAUGAAACUCCUAGAGAUUAAAAAAGGCUAUUUAUUUUAUUCGAUUACAUUCUCCAUAUUAAGCAAGAAAUCUGAGACGGAUCAAGGAGAAGAAAGGCUAUUUAUUUUAUUCGAUUACAUUCUCCAUAUUAAGCAAGAAAUCUGAGACGGAUCAAGGAGAAGAAAAGCCCCGAGAUGGUUUCUCGGAGUCAGGCAGAGAGAGAGAGAGAGAGAUAUGAAAAACAAAAAAAAAAGAUAAAAG
rnacentral:lncRNA from 1 species